CCCUUAGAUGCUCUGGGCCGCACGCGCGCUACACUGACCAGUGCAACAAGCAUCCGUCCUUGGCCGACAGGCUCGGGCAAUCUUUGAACGCUGGUCGUGAUGGGGAUAGACUUUUGCAAUUUUUGGUCUUCAACGAGGAAUUCCUAGUAAACGCAAGUCAUCAACUUGCAUUGAUUACGUCCCUGCCCUUUGUACACACCGCCCGUCGCACCUACCGAUUGAAUGGUCCGGUGAAGCCUCCGGAUUGGCGCGCACCUCGGUGCCGCCGAGAAGUUGGCUAAACCUUACCAUUUAGAGGAAGGUGAAGUCGUAACA
rnacentral:rRNA from 1 species